rnacentral:rRNA from 1 species
CCUACGGGAGGCAGCAGUGGGGAAUAUUGCUCAAUGGGGGAAACCCUGAUGCAGCGACGCCGCGUGAGUGAAGAAGUAUUUCGGUAUGUAAAGCUCUAUCAGCAGGGAAGAAAAUGACGGUACCUGAUUAAGAAGCCCCGUCUAACUACGUGCCAGCAGCCGCGGUAAUACGUAAGGGGCAGGCGUUAUCCGGAUUUACUGGGUGUAAAGGGGGCGUAGACGGCAGCACAAGUCUGGAGUGAAAUGCCUGGGCUUAACCCCGGAACUGCUUUGGAAACUGGGCAGCUAGAGUGCAGGAGAGGUAAGUGGAAUGCCUAGUGUAGCGGUGAAAUGCGUAGAUAUUAGGAGGAACACCAGUGGCGAAGGCGGCUUACUGGACUGUAACUGACGUUGAGGCUCGAAAGCGUGGGGAGCAAACAGGAUUAGAUACCCCGGUAGUC